rnacentral:tRNA from 1 species
ACUUUCAUAGCUCAGUUGGUAGAGCACAUGACUUUAAGAAGUUCCUGAAAGGCUGUGUUCCAAAGGUCGCUGGUUCAACUCCACCUCAAAACA